rnacentral:rRNA from 1 species
UGAACGCUAGCUACAGGCUUAACACAUGCAAGUCGAGGGGCAGCAUUUCGCUAGCAAUAGUGAAGAUGGCGACCGGCGCACGGGUGAGUAACACGUAUCCAACCUGCCGAUAACUCGGGGAUAGCCUUUCGAAAGAAAGAUUAAUAUCCGAUGGUAUAUUAAGAUCGCAUGGUUUUACUAUUAAAGAAUUUCGGUUAUCGAUGGGGAUGCGUUCCAUUAGUUUGUUGGCGGGGUAACGGCCCACCAAGACUACGAUGGAUAGGGGUUCUGAGAGGAAGGUCCCCCACAUUGGAACUGAGACACGGUCCAAACUCCUACGGGAGGCAGCAGUGAGGAAUAUUGGUCAAUGGGCGAGAGCCUGAACCAGCCAAGUAGCGUGAGGGAUGAAGGCUCUAUGGGUCGUAAACCUCUUUUAUAUGGGAAUAAAGUUUUCCACGUGUGGAAUUUUGUAUGUACCAUAUGAAUAAGGAUCGGCUAACUCCGUGCCAGCAGCCGCGGUAAUACGGAGGAUCCGAGCGUUAUCCGGAUUUAUUGGGUUUAAAGGGAGCGUAGGUGGAUUGUUAAGUCAGUUGUGAAAGUUUGCGGCUCAACCGUAAAAUUGCAGUUGAAACUGGCAGUCUUGAGUACAGUAGAGGUGGGCGGAAUUCGUGGUGUAGCGGUGAAAUGCUUAGAUAUCACGAAGAACUCCGAUUGCGAAGGCAGCUCCCUAGACUGCACCUGACACUGAGGCUCGAAAGUGUGGGUAUCAAACAGGAUUAGAUACCCCUGGUAGUCCACACAGUAAACGAUGAAUACUCGCUGUUUGCGAUAUACAGCAAGCGGCCAAGCGAAAGCAUUAAGUAUUCCACCUGGGGAGUACGCCGGGCAACGGUGAAACUCAAAGGAAUUGACGGGGGCCCGCACAAGCGGAGGAACAUGUGGUUUAAUUCGAUGAUACGCGAGGAACCUCACCCGGGCUUAAAUUGCAAAUGAAUAAUCUGGAAACAGGUUAGCCGCAAGGCAUUUGUGAAGGUGCUGCAUGGUUGUCGUCAGCUCGUGCCGUGAGGUGUCGGCUUAAGUGCCAUAACGAGCGCAACCCUUAUCUUUAGUUACUAACAGGUCAUGCUGAGGACUCUAGAGAGACUGCCGUCGUAAGAUGUGAGGAAGGUGGGGAUGACGUCAAAUCAGCACGGCCCUUACGUCCGGGGCUACACACGUGUUACAAUGGGGGGUACAGAAGGCAGCUACCUGGCGACAGGAUGCUAAUCCCAAAAACCUCUCUCAGUUCGGAUCGAAGUCUGCAACCCGACUUCGUGAAGCUGGAUUCGCUAGUAAUCGCGCAUCAGCCAUGGCGCGGUGAAUACGUUCCCGGGCCUUGUACACACCGCCCGUCAAGCCAUGAAAGCCGGGGGUACCUGAAGUACGUAACCGCAAGGAGCGUCCUAGGGUAAAACUGGUAAUUGGGG